UUAAGGCAAAAAUAGAUGAUCUGGAAAAGUUGUCCAGAUAUUUUUGACUUGGUUUUGCUCUAUGGUUUUUAAUAUUCUAUUAUAAAACUUAAGUACUAGAUUUCCCAUAACCUUACAUGUAAAGCAAAAAACAUUGGCACUGGUCAGUUGCUUUUUAUUGAUUUUGUGUACUUUUUGUCACAUUUCAUUCACUAUUGGAGAGGUCACUACAUACUAAUACACCUGCAUAAAUUGGCUGGGUGAUUGAUUUAU